UGACAUGUCUUCAGCCAGGAGCGGUUCUA
rnacentral:piRNA from 1 species